GAUGAACGCUGGCGGCAUGUCUAAUACAUGCAAGUCGAGCGAACGGACGAGAAGCUUGCUUCUCUGAUGUUAGCGGCGGACGGGUGAGUAACACGUGGAUAACCUACCUAUAAGACUGGGAUAACUUCGGGAAACCGGAGCUAAUACCGGAUAAUAUUUUGAACCGCAUGGUUCAAAAGUGAAAGACGGUCUUGCUGUCACUUAUAGAUGGAUCCGCGCUGCAUUAGCUAGUUGGUAAGGUAACGGCUUACCAAGGCAACGAUGCAUAGCCGACCUGAGAGGGUGAUCGGCCACACUGGAACUGAGACACGGUCCAGACUCCUACGGGAGGCAGCAGUAGGGAAUCUUCCGCAAUGGGCGAAAGCCUGACGGAGCAACGCCGCGUGAGUGAUGAAGGUCUUCGGAUCGUAAAACUCUGUUAUUAGGGAAGAACAUAUGUGUAAGUAACUGUGCACAUCUUGACGGUACCUAAUCAGAAAGCCACGGCUAACUACGUG
rnacentral:rRNA from 1 species